AAUUGGAAAGCGAAAUAAUCGCAUUUAGUUUCGACCUAAACUUUGGUAAAAUUACCUUCAAUUU
rnacentral:tRNA from 1 species